rnacentral:misc_RNA from 1 species
GGGGUUUUGAUAACUUGUUUUGAUAAAAUUUUGAUAACCGUUCGAAAACUAAUAAUAAAAACGGGAACCACCAGGUUCCCGUUCUGACA